CUGCUCACAGUUUGUGGAACUCACAGCUCUAUCCCCACACAGGGCAGAGGUCCCUCAGGAAGGCAGUGGUGUGGUCUACAAGAUGAGACUGCUGAGUCUUCUCCUGUGCCUAGUGACUGGUCCCAAUGGUAUCCUGUCCCAGGUGCAGCUGCAGGAGUCAGGGCCUGGCCUAGUGAAGCCCUCGCAGGCCCUGUCCCUCACAUGCUCAGUCUCUGGAUUCUCCAUCACAACCAGUUAUUAUGGUUGGCACUGGAUCCGUCAGCCUAAAGGAAAAAGCCCAGAGUGGAUGGGUGUUAUAGCCUACAAUGGUGACACUGGCUACAACCCGUCCCUCCAGAGCCGCAUCUCUAUCUCCAGAGAGACAGGCAAGAACCAGUUCUUCCUGAAGCUGAACUCUGUCACCGAGGAAGACACAGCCAUGUAUUACUGUGCAAGAGACACAGUGAUUUGA